ACGACGCUCUUCCGAUCUUAGUCAUAUGCUUGUCUCAAAGACUAAGCCAUGCACGUCUAAGUACAAACUAAAUGAUGGUGAAACUGCAAAUGGCUCAUUACAACGGUUAUGAUGUACCCGGGAGUUCCGAUGGAUAUUUCCAGUAACACUAGAACUAAUACAUGCUCCUGCGUUUAUUAGUUUCGCACAGUCCGUCGCUGAGUCAUGGUAAACAGUUGAUCGACUCGACGUCCCGGAACAGUUUCCGCCCCAUCAGCUUCGAUGGUUGGGUAUUGGCCUACCAUUGCAACAACGGGUAACGAGGAAUUAGGGUUUGAUUUCGGAGAGGGAGCCUGAGAAACGGCUACCACAUCUACGGAUGGCAGCAGGCGCGCAAAUUACCCAAUGCAGACACUGUGAGGUAGUGACGAGAAAUAAUAAAGCGGGACUUCUGUUUCGCUAUUAUAAUGAGGAAUAACCAAAGGUCAUUCCGAUUAGCAACUGAUGGGAAAGUCUGGUGCCAGCAGCCGCGGUAAUACCAGCGUCAGUAGCAUAUAUUAAAAUUGUUGCAGUUAAAACGUCCGUAGUCUGUACGUCGUCCCAAACUCACUGCAGUCUUCCGUUUUCUUAAUUGAAUGCGGUAGUUUCUGCAGUCACUCCCUUGAUCAAAUUAGGUUGUUCAAGGUAGACCAAGUCUUCAUAUUUUCACAUGGAAUUGGGUGAGGGAACUUAAGAGUUUAAGUUUCUCGUCUUAGGAUCAUCCGGGGUCAUUCGUACUCGUCCGCGAGAGGUGAAAUUCUUGGACCGGACGAAGACGACCAGCAGCGAAAGCAUCUGUCAGGGAUGUUUUCUGCGACAAAGGACGAAGGUCAGGGUAUCGAAGACGAUUAGAUACCGUCGUAGUCCUGACUGUAAACUAUGCCAACUUGGGUCUUGCUGGGCGAUGCUUUGUGAGACCCACACAGAAAUGAAAGUGUAUGGGUUCUGGGGGUAGUAUGGACACAAGUCUGAAACUUGAAGGAAUUGACGGAAGAGCACCAUAAGACGUGGAGCUUGCGGCUUAAUUUGACCCAACGCGGGAAAACUUACCAGGUCAAGACAUGGGCGUGAUUGACAGGCUAAUGACUUUUCUCGAUUCCAUGGAUGGUGGUGCAUGGUCGCACUUAGUUGGUGCAGUGAUUUGUCAGGUUUAUUCCGGUAACGAACGAGACCUCGGAGAUCGGAAGAGCACACGUCUGAACUCCAGUCACCCUAGGU
rnacentral:rRNA from 1 species